rnacentral:tRNA from 2 species
UCUAAUGUGGCAGAUAAGUGCGGUGGAUUUAAGCUCCACAAAUAAGGUUUCGAACUUUCUUUAGAA